UGGGGAAUUUUGGACAAUGGGCGAAAGCCUGAUCCAGCAAUGCCGCGUGUGUGAAGAAGGCCUUCGGGUUGUAAAGCACUUUUGUCCGGAAAGAAAUCCUUGGCUCUAAUACAGUCGGGGGAUGACGGUACCGGAAGAAUAAGCACCGGCUAACUACGUGCCAGCAGCCGCGGUAAUACGUAGGGUGCAAGCGUUAAUCGGAAUUACUGGGCGUAAAGCGUGCGCAGGCGGUUUGCUAAGACCGAUGUGAAAAUCCCCGGGCUCAACCUGGGAACUGCAUUGGUGACUGGCAGGCUAGAGUAUGGCAGAGGGGGGUAGAAUUCCACGUGUAGCAGUGAAAUGCGUAGAGAUGUGGAGGAAUACCGAUGGCGAAGGCAGCCCCUGGCCAAGUACUGACGCUCAUGCACGAAAGCGUGGGGAGCAAAACAGGAUUAGAUACCCUGGUAGUCCACGCCCUAAAACGAUGUCAACUAGUUGUUGGGGAUUCAUUUCCUUAGUAACGUAGCUAACGCGUGAAGUUGACCGCCU
rnacentral:rRNA from 1 species